UCCUGGCUNAGGACGAACGCUGGCGGCGUGCCUAAUACAUGCAAGUCGAACGCUUCUUUUUCCACCGGAGCUUGCUCCACCGGAAAAAGAGGAGUGGCGAACGGGUGAGUAACACGUGGGUAACCUGCCCAUCAGAAGGGGAUAACACUUGGAAACAGGUGCUAAUACCGUAUAACAAUCGAAACCGCAUGGUUUUGAUUUGAAAGGCGCUUUCGGGUGUCGCUGAUGGAUGGACCCGCGGUGCAUUAGCUAGUUGGUGAGGUAACGGCUCACCAAGGCGACGAUGCAUAGCCGACCUGAGAGGGUGAUCGGCCACAUUGGGACUGAGACACGGCCCAAACUCCUACGGGAGGCAGCAGUAGGGAAUCUUCGGCAAUGGACGAAAGUCUGACCGAGCAACGCCGCGUGAGUGAAGAAGGUUUUCGGAUCGUAAAACUCUGUUGUUAGAGAAGAACAAGGAUGAGAGUAACUGUUCAUCCCUUGACGGUAUCUAACCAGAAAGCCACGGCUAACUACGUGCCAGCAGCCCGCG
rnacentral:rRNA from 1 species